rnacentral:rRNA from 1 species
GACGAAGGGGGCUAGCGUUGUUCGGAAUUACUGGGCGUAAAGAGCGUGUAGGCGGCUAUGCAGGUCCGCUGUGAAAACUCGAGGCUCAACCUCGAGACGUCGGUGGAAACCGCAUGGCUAGAGUCCGGAAGAGGAGAGUGGAAUUCCCGGUGUAGCGGUGAAAUGCGCAGAUAUCGGGAAGAACACCCGUGGCGAAGGCGGUUCUCUGGGACGGUACUGACGCUGAGACGCGAAAGCGUGGGGAGCGAACAGG